GUUUUCCGUCACGGACUUGCUGGAUCAUCUGGCGGAGCUGAGGAGAGCGUCACAUAUCAACCACUAUGGCGUCCUCAACAUCUACGGGACCCCGGCCUUCGUCGAAUUCAUCAGCCAGGCGUCCGAGUUGAGCGAUACUAUCAGCGUGUUUCGGAGUUUCCUAGGAGACGACAGGAAAAGCCAUAUGAUCGUCGUCGGCGUCGGGUACUUCAUUUACAACGACACAGACUCUUGGCAAAGCUUGUCUCAAGUUGUCGAGAAAGUCGCCUCGGACGACGUGGACGUUGUGGUGGUAAUCACCACUCCUCUGUCACAGCCCGAUCGGCGACAGUGCCUUACGCUGCCCAUCAACGCGAUAGACAGCAAGAAUCCUUUCGUACCAACAAUGG
rnacentral:lncRNA from 1 species